UAAUUGAUUUAUUUUUCUCACAGUUCCUUCUUUUGUCAUAUGGUUGUGUACAUCGUUAUGCUGUUUCGUUUCUUCGUUCCUUGAACCAGUUCAUUCGGAAUUAUUGUACACAUUAUAUUCCUUCUAGUUUCAGUUCAUUUAUCUGUUUUUAGUCCAUAAAGAGCGAAAAUUUUUUCUCAUCGGCCUUCACAUAUUUGUUUUUUUUGGUGACACUGCGUUUAAAAAGAAAAAUUUUUUAAUUUGUAUUAAAUAAGCGAGCGUUAUUUUAGAGAACUAUUAAAACUUAAUAUGUCUGAACUUCAGUCAUCUUUACUGCUAAAGAAACAAUUGGCUGGUGAGUUAAAUACAAAUAUUUGAUAAAUGUAUUAUAUAUGUAUAUAUAUUUAUCUAUGUAUCUACAUACAAAUUAAUAUGAAUAUAUAUAUAUAUUGAUACAGAAAUGUACAUAUAUAUUAUGUACACAAAAAUUUCCGUCUUGGUUUGUCUCCAAGGAAUGUCUUUGUGUUGUACAUAUGUACAUAUAUAUUUUUAGGGAACUGAUUCCCUAUUACGAUGUCACAUGUUCCAAAAAAGGAAACUGGCAAACGGGCGUAGAUUUAUUUAGAAUUAUCUAAAUUACAUCUGAAUAGUAUAUUUACACUUUUUUCUAGUUUACUUAGUUAAUAGUGCCUUCAAAUUCGAACGAUAAAGUACGGAGCUGUAUCGAGCCGGAUACAUGUUACAUGCACAUGUUUCAUACAUAUACAUAUGUAUGGACAUGCAUCCAUCUGCAAAUUUAAUAUUCUAUUUAGGCGAAAAAUGUCAGUUUUCUAUGAGACAGACUUUUUGUUUUUUAUGUUUGGAAGUCGCGAAGUACAAGGUUAUAUUGUACAUGUGGAAAUAUCAGUAACUGCAGGGUACUGUUCAUCAUAGACAUCCGAGCCUUUUUACAUACAUACACAUACAUACAUAUGUAUUUGCAAACAUACAAAUAUGUAUGCAGCAUUGUCCGUGUGUUUGAACACAUGGAUCGGGAGACUUCUAAGUUAACGAACAAUUUGAAUGUUUUUAUUUGUGAUAAGUUCUGGAUAAAUUUCGAUUCUAUAAUUUGUCACGCCCUGUUCUUAAAUCGGAAUCAAUGGGGCGAGUUCACAUGGGCAUUUUGAUCCAACAACUUUAUUCCAUACGAUUGUUCUGAUAAACGCAUAUGAUUAGUAAUUUUGUUGCGGAAAUUAAGGCAUCAUAUAUUGAUAAACAAAAUAUAUCUUCGAUUGACCUAGUGCAAGAUGAUGAUGAGAUGAAGAUGAGCCACCAGGCUGCUGUAUGCUCACACUGAUGCAAGUGUUUUUCAAAAAUUAGCCCCGCCCCCGCAAUGGUCGAAAAUCUCCCACUGCCAUAAUUUUCACGAUAAAAGAAAACUAAAAGCUAAAAGAGCGUGUGUCGUGAAAAGAGAUGUAGAUGUAGAUGACAAAUGUAAAAAAAAUGUAAAAUGUAAAAAUCGAAAAAAAAACACUAAACACGGUACUGAGUACCGGGUAUACAAGUUGUCCCUUCUCGUUUGUUUUCUCUUAUCUUAAAAAUUGGGGAUACAGCCGAUUUUCGUCCUUUGUUUUCGACCUGGCUAAUUUUUAAAAUACGGUUGUAUCAGUGUGUGUACCAGACAGACUUGGCCAUUGAUGCUGAUCAAGAAUAUAAAAGAGUUGGAAUUAGCUUGGCAGCAGUGUAUUUACAAAAUAUUUAAUUUACAUAUCUCUAUUUUUUUCAUUUCAGAACUGAACAAGAAUCCAGUAGAAGGUUUCUCAGCUGGAUUAAUAGAUGAGAAUGAUAUAUUCCGCUGGGAAGUCCUAAUAAUUGGUCCGCCAGAUACACUUUAGUAUGUUUAUAUACUUAGAUAUUUCAUGUAAAUUUAAACAGUUCUUGCAAUGACCUGACCACGUUGUUAGUUUGUUAUUGGCUAGAUACUUGCACCGCAAUGACAUAUAUUUCCGAUCGCAUAAGUCCCUCAGAUAAAGUAAAAUCACAUAUAAGUUAAAAAGGUCGCCGAAUUAAAACAGAAAAACAGAAUUUUGUUUUUCAAUUUGAAAUUUUAAUUUACACAUUAUACAUAUGAAGGCUUACAUAUUCGUAUUCUAUGAGUUUCCACUACACCUUGUUGUAAAUAGUUUAGCAGUACCCCCGAUUUAUACGAGUGUUGAGAACUGCCAUUAGUGGCCGGGAUCUGAAUCUGUUGAAUGCAGUGGAUAAAACCAAUUGGAUUUAAAAUUAGUAUAGUUCAUCCAUUUUCAAAAACCUUCUGAGGUGUCUGCUUCCUAAGAAGCGAGAGCUCUGCAUAGCUUUUUUGUUAAUCAAUCUGGAAUUGCUUCUUUUAAUGGGAAAUUUAAAUAAAUUCAAUAUAAAUAUUUAUGUAGACUUUGCAGUUUGUCAUUAUUGGAAAUACAAAAAAUGUCUCGUUCUCUACAGUCGAAUUAAUCCGAAUUUAUUUAUUUUCCUGUAGUGAAGGAGGCUUUUUCAAAGCACAUCUUUAUUUCCCCAAAGAAUAUCCUUUGCGUCCACCUCGAAUGAAGUUCGUCACAGAAAUUUGGCACCCUAAUAUUGAAAAAAACGGAGACGUCUGCAUUUCCAUUUUACACGAACCUGGAGAUGAUAAGUGGGGAUACGAAAAAGCAUCGGAGCGCUGGUUACCCGUGCAUACAGUGGAAACUAUCUUGAUAUCAGUGAUAUCAAUGUUGGCUGAUCCCAACGAUGAGUCUCCAGCAAAUGUAGAUGCCGCCAAAGAAUGGCGAGAAUCUUAUCCUGACUUUAAACGCAAAGUAGCUCGCUGUGUCCGAAAAAGUCAAGAGGAGUGCUCGUAGAAGAUGGAUUUGCACUAUAUUUGUAUAUUUAUAUUAAAAAUUUGAUACAUUAAAAAGAAUAACUGAAUUAACAGACGAAUAUUUUAUUUUUUUUAAAGGAUUUUGAUGAAAACAAAUGUUCUGAAUUUUUAGUUUUAUGCUAUACUCGAAAAGGACAAAUUAAAAUAUAUUGUCCAAAACUGCAUUUUUCAUUUUUGACAAACUCUUGAGUGUUAAUAUAGGUGUACUAUUAUAUUCUAAUAUUUUAAUAACUACCUAAGCUCAUCUUAUCAAUGUUUUGGAGAACAUAAAGCCAACGCUACGGUAUAUGACAUAAAUAUGAAUGUACAUAUUUAUAAGCAGUAUGCAUACAGUUGUGUUCAACGAAAUCGUAGUGUCGCACCUCAUCACUUUCACAACUAUUUUUGAGACCCUUCCAGUCUUUCGAAUUAAACAAGUGAUACCUUUUUGGAAAGCCUGAAGUGUACACAUUACAAGCAAGAAUGAAUACUGAAACAUUUGCAUUCCAUUUUCUUGAUUUUCAUAACUUUUGACGGGUACCCUUGAAAUGGGCUAAUUAAAAAAACACAAUAUUAUUUAAAAAUGUCACCAUCUUAAGUAAGCUUAACCUAUAUAUUAAAUAUUUCGAAGAAAAAAUGUUUGGACGUGGCGGUAUUUUUGUUUUUGUAGCGUUGAAAAAAAGAUUGCUCGAUCUAGAAGAGGAGUCCUAAGAUUUGGAUUGAAAACUAAAGUCAGGAGGUAUAAUCGG
rnacentral:lncRNA from 1 species